AUGGAUGGCCUCCACGUCGCCCUCCACACGACCUAUAUGGAUGUCGAACGAAACCCUAGAGCACUCCCUUCCUUUUCCCCCCUCAACCCCCCUUCGCCCCUACCUCUACUGCUCGGAUUCGAGCUCGGAAGAUCCGCGGUGACCGCUGCCUCUCCGUCGAUUGAUGCAUCCACAGGCCCCUCCGGCGUGCGAGGGCAUGUCCUGGAGGUCCGUCCCGGUCGACAGCGUCUGUUCCGGCCGUUGGAGCAAGCAGGGGAGCCGCGUAGAAGGCGUCAUCGUCUUCUUCUUCGUCCGGCCGUCGCAACCCCUCCGUCACCAGCGCCUCUCCGGUCCACCUCAGCCUUACUCAAGCACCUAUUCUGGCUCGCGACGAUGGAGCCUAGGAGCCAGACGCCACUGUCAAUGACGACUACUACUACUCGGGAGGUGCCUACUACUACGUGCAGCCCGCUAACGACGACCAGGAGUAGUUUAGGAGGAUCCCAGGUAGGAGGCCUGCGCCUCUUUCGAUCCGUAUCCCAGUUUGUGCUAGCCUUCUUAAGGCAAACUUGUUUAACUUAUGUUUGUACUCAGAUAUUUUUGCUUCCGCUGACUCGUCUAUGA
rnacentral:rRNA from 1 species